UCACUGCAGCCUCCCACUUCGGCUUCACUGGGAUUACAGGACCACAUCACCAUGCCCAGCAACUACCUCUGAUGAAAAGAAUUAUGGAUCAGGAAAGUAGCCUCUUUAUAUCAUUCUGAAUAGUUAAAUCACUCUUAUAUAUUCACUGCUUUUAUUUAAAAAAUUGAGAAAGAAAAGCAAACCUGUCUCAGAGACUGGAGCUCAUGUAGCAGAGUGGGCUGUGGGAGAACCAGUAUGACCCACAGUCGGGCUCUGGGCAGGGAAGGAAGACUGUGUGUGCAGGUGCUCGGUGCCCUGCGGCGGCCACACGUAGGAGCACCUCAUACAGAAUUCAGAAUGAUUUGAUUCUUCUGGACAGCAGAAGCAUGGCUCCUGCCUUCUUCCUCUCCAUCUCCUAUCCCCCUUCCCUAGAAUAUUCCAGAGUAAAAAAAACCUUUUUUUUUUUAAUUAAAGGAAGAAGAAAUAUUAAGAGAGCUUCUACAGAUCUAAUUUGGAGAUGAAGCACACAAAACCCCUGGCUUCUUCGCAGUGGGGGCUGGAGGCUGGAGGUGUGGGUUCUGCCUCGGCCUGUGCGUGGUGGCUGAGCUCUGGCUGCUGUGCUGGGAGCAGCCGCAAGGGACGACACAGAACAGGGAGCAGACCACGGUAACCCAGGGCCAAAUGUGGGGGGCUGGCCCCGGCAGCGGCAGCAGGGGAGGGGAGGUCAGGCUCUGGCCCUGGGCGUUUGCUGACAGAGUGGACAUGGGCUGUGAGAGAAAGAGGAUGGCCAGGGCUGACUCGGUGGGAGGUGACCCCGUUCCACGGCACUGCAGGUUCUGAGGGGUGGGGUGGCCCACAAGGGAGACCCAGGCUUCCCUGCAGGUGAGAAGUGCAGAGAUGGCACGCCAGGUACCCAGCCCCACAGGGACAAGCGCUCUCUGAGGGGCCUGGCAGCUGCCCCCUCAGAAGCCAGCCACGAGGAGGCUCACAGAGGCUCAGGCAGAGCUCCGUCUGGGACAAGUGACCCUUCUUCGUCAGUGGUGCUUCUGCAGGACGGAGAGAACUCACUCAGAGGGAGCUGGAGGGCACAGCAAAGCGCAAUCCAUCCUUUCUAACCCCAAAUCCACCACCCACCCCUGAGGCGGAAGGCUGCGGGGAGGCAGGCACACCUUAAGCACAGGUCAGCCUCAGCUCCGCCUGCCGACCAGACCUGGGAUCAAAGGCUGGUGGAGGAGCAGCUAACGCCUGAGAGAGCCCCCAGUGAGCAAGCAAAGGAGAAACAGGAGAGUAGAAGACACAGGGAGAAGAGAGGGCCUGAGAAGAUGGAGGCAGGGACUGGAGUGAUGCAGCCACAAGCCAAGGAAUCCCUGCAGCCCGAGGAGCUGGAAGAGGCAAGCAAGGGUCCUCCCCGAGGCUGCUGGAGAGAGCAUGGCUCUGCUCACACUUCCACUCUGGCCUUGGGGCCUCCGA